AUAACCUGCCUAAGGAAGGGGAUACCCCGGGAAACUGGGGAUAAUACCCUAUAGAUUACCGAUGCUGGAAUGCCCGGUAAUCGAAAGUUCCGGCGCCUUAGGAUGGAUCUGCGGCCGAUUAGGUUGUUGUUGGGGUAACGGCCCAACAAGCCAGUGAUCGGUACGGGUUGUGGGAGCAAGAGCCCGGAGUUGGAUUCUGAGACACGAAUCCAGGCCCUACGGGGCGCAGCAGGCGCGAAAACUUUACAAUGCGGGCAACCGUGAUAAGGGAACUUCGAGUGCCUGUAUAUGCAGGUUGUCUGGGUGUCUAACACACACUCAAAGAAAGGGCCGGGCAAGACCGGUGCCAGCCGCCGCGGUAAAUACCGGCGGCUCGAGUGGUGGCCACUUUUAUUGGGCUUAAAGCGUUCGUAGCUGGGUUGUUAAGUCCCUUGGGAAAUCCGACGGCUUAACCGUCGGGCGUCUAAGGGAUACUGGCAAUCUUGGAACCGGGAGAGGUGAGGGGUACUUCGGGGGUAGGAGUGAAAUCCUGUAAUCCUCGAGGGACCACCUGUGGCGAAGGCGCCUCACCAGAACGGCUUCGACAGUGAGGGACGAAAGCUGGGGGAGCAAACCGGAUUAGAUACCCGGGUAGUCCCAGCCGUAAACGAUGUGCGUUAGGUGUAUCGAUGACCACGAGUCAUCGAGGUGCCGAAGGGAAACCGUGAAACGUACCGCCUGGGAAGUACGGUCGCAAGGCUGAAACUUAA
rnacentral:rRNA from 1 species